ensembl:snoRNA LOC120093967 small nucleolar RNA SNORA48
AACCCCUGGCAAUGGACAAAGAGACACCUUGUUCAUGGUGUUGUUCUUAUAUCAAUCAGGGACAGAGCAGUUAGGAGUCCUUCGUUUAUCCUAGCUUGGUAACUGACUUGAUGGCCAAGGCUGUUUUAUGCCAAGGAUGCCGUU